rnacentral:rRNA from 2 species
GUCCAAGCCAUGCCGGCGUGUGUGAAGAAGGCCUUUUGGGUUGUAAAGCACUUUAAGCGAGGAGGAGGCUACUUAGAUUAAUACUCUAGGAUAGUGGACGUUACUCGCAGAAUAAGCACCGGCUAACUCUGUGCCAGCAGCCGCGGUAAUACAGAGGGUGCGAGCGUUAAUCGGAUUUACUGGGCGUAAAGCGUGCGUAGGCGGCUUUUUAAGUCGGAUGUGAAAUCCCUGAGCUUAACUUAGGAAUUGCAUUCGAUACUGGGAAGCUAGAGUAUGGGAGAGGAUGGUAGAAUUCCAGGUGUAGCGGUGAAAUGCGUAGAGAUCUGGAGGAAUACCGAUGGCGAAGGCAGCCAUCUGGCCUAAUACUGACGCUGAGGUACGAAAGCAUGGGGAGCAAACAGGAUUAGAUACCCUGGUAGUCCAUGCCGUAAACGAUGUCUACUAGCCGUUGGGGCCUUUGAGGCUUUAGUGGCGCAGCUAACGCGAUAAGUAGACCGCCUGGGGAGUACGGUCGCAAGACUAAAACUCAAAUGAAUUGACGGGGGCCCGCACAAGCGGUGGAGCAUGUGGUUUAAUUCGAUGCAACGCGAAGAACCUUACCUGGUCUUGACAUAGUAAGAACUUUCCAGAGAUGGAUUGGUGCCUUCGGGAACUUACAUACAGGUGCUGCAUGGCUGUCGUCAGCUCGUGUCGUGAGAUGUUGGGUUAAGUCCCGCAACGAGCGCAACCCUUUUCCUUAUUUGCCAGCGGGUUAAGCCGGGAACUUUAAGGAUACUGCCAGUGACAAACUGGAGGAAGGCGGGGACGACGUCAAGUCAUCAUGGCCCUUACGACCAGGGCUACACACGUGCUACAAUGGUCGGUACAAAGGGUUGCUACCUAGCGAUAGGAUGCUAAUCUCAAAAAGCCGAUCGUAGUCCGGAUUGGAGUCUGCAACUCGACUCCAUGAAGUCGGAAUCGCUAGUAAUCGCGGAUCAGAAUGCCGCGGUGAAUACGUUCCCGGGCCUUGUACACACCGCCCGUCACACCAUGGGAAUUUGUUGCACCAGAAGUAGGUAGUCUAACCGCAAGGAGGACGCUACCACGGUACCCGAAUGC